GCAACACCCAGGAGGGACUGAUGCAAUAAGAGACGGAAGAACAACAAUUAUAAACUAGCUGGGCAAAGGCGAAAGCAGAGAGGCCGCCUGCAGCAGAGAAAGGGAGAAAGGAAGACUAUCUGUGGCCUAAGAAAACAUGGUCUGAGUGAUUAUCAGUGCCUGCAGUUAUGUGUGUGCACGUAUUGCACGUGUGUGCUGCUGUAAAGGAGAAGAGGAAGAGUCUGAUUCACCCCAAGCAAAGAAUCAAGGUAUAAAGGCACCAAUUCGUCAAGCACCACCCAGCGGGGAAGGGACCAGUCCCUUUCCAGCCCCAGAACAGCCCUGUGGAACAUGACGAUAGAGUAAUAACAGUGAAGGGAUCUCUCUGGAAUGGGUUCCUGCACUGCCACCCUUUGGAAAACCAGGACAUCACUAAAUUUGCAAGCACUUCCGCUCACCUCAUCACAGAGCAUUAUGAAGACAGGUUCACAAACUCCCAUCAGUGUGGAGAGGAACUUGUCCAAAUUUCCCCUGCCUGUGAUCACCUAACUUUUUUUUUUAAUGCUGGAUUAAAAUGAAAAGCAAGUAUUAAAGCAACCAUUAAAAUACA